CAGCCGCCGCGGUAAAACCAGCACCUCAAGUGGUCAGGAUGAUUAUUGGGCCUAAAGCAUCCGUAGCCGGCUCUGUAAGUUUUCGGUUAAAUCUGUACGCUCAACGUACAGGCUGCCGGGAAUACUGCAGAGCUAGGGAGUGGGAGAGGUAGACGGUACUCGGUAGGAAGGGGUAAAAUCCUUUGAUCUAUUGAUGACCACCUGUGGCGAAGGCGGUCUACCAGAACACGUCCGACGGUGAGGGAUGAAAGCUGGGGGAGCAAACCGGAUUAGAUACCCGGGUAGUCCCAGCUGUAAACUAUGCAAACUCAGUGAUGCAUUGGCUUGUGGCCAAUGCAGUGCUGCAGGGAAGCCGUUAAGUUUGCCGCCUGGGAAGUACGUACGCAAGUAUGAAACUUAAAGGAAUUGGCGGGGGAGCAC
rnacentral:rRNA from 3 species